rnacentral:rRNA from 1 species
GAUGAACGCUGGCGGCGUGCUUAAUACAUGCGAGUCGAGCGAACAGAUGAGGAGCUUGCUCCUCUGACGUUAGCGGCGGACGGGUGAGUCACACGUGGAUAACCUACCUAUAAGACUGGGAUAACUUCGGGAAACCGGAGCCAAUACCGGAUAAUAUAUUGAACCGCAUGGUUCAAUAGUGAAAGACGGCUUUGCUGUCACGUAUAGAGGGUUCCGCGCCGCAUUGGCUAGUUGGUAAGGUAACGGCUUACCAAGGCAACGAUGCGUAGCCGACCUGAGAGGGUGAUCGGCCACACUGGAACUGAGCCACGGACCAGACUCCUACGGGAGGCAGCAGUAGGGAAUCUUCCGCAAUGGGGGAAAGCCUGACGCAGCAACGCCGCGUGAGUGAUGAAGGUCUUCGGGUCGUAAAACUCUUUUAUUAGGGAAGAACAAAUGUGGAAUUAGCUAUACACGUCUUGACGGUACCUGAUCAAAAAGCCACGGCUAACUACGUG